rnacentral:rRNA from 1 species
AUUGAACGCUGGCGGCAUGCCUUACACAUGCAAGUCGAACGGUAACGGGCCUUCGGGUGCCGACGAGUGGCGAACGGGUGAGUAAUGCAUCGGAACGUACCUUUCAGUGGGGGAUAACGUAGCGAAAGUUACGCUAAUACCGCAUAUUCUGUGAGCAGGAAAGCAGGGGAUCGCAAGACCUUGCGCUGAUUGAGCGGCCGAUGUCAGAUUAGCUAGCUGGUGAGGUAAAGGCUCACCAAGGCGACAAUCUGUAGCGGGUCUGAGAGGAUGAUCCGCCACACUGGGACUGAGACACGGCCCAGACUCCUACGGGAGGCAGCAGUGGGGAAUUUUGGACAAUGGGGGCAACCCUGAUCCAGCCAUGCCGCGUGAGUGAAGAAGGCCUUCGGGUUGUAAAGCUCUUUCGGCCGGGAAGAAAUCGCACAGGCUAAUACCUUGUGUGGAUGACGGUACCGGAAUAAGAAGCACCGGCUAACUACGUGCCAGCAGCCGCGGUAACAC